AGACUAUGCGCGUGCGCAGAUGGGACCUCGAGCCGGGGGCGGAGUGGGUGUGUUCCGUUGUCGCGUUUCUACCGCGAUUUCCCCUCUUAAUCUUCCUUCGUUCCUAAGACUUUCAAGGUAUUUGCCACGUUUUUCUUACCAUCUGCCCUAUCAUUUAAAGUUUUUCUUACUCAUCGUUUGUUUCGUCUCUACUUUGGGUUACAAAAUUUAACAUGCACAGCAGCGUACCUAAGGGACAAAAUUUCCCUCCCACCUUUGCACCCCCCACUCACCGAAAGAGUUCCUGGAAACAAAAAAGUAUAACCGGUGUUUGUUGUUGCUUUUGGUACCAGGAAUUGAACCCAGGGGUGCUUAACCACCAAGCCACUCCCCAGCCUGUUUGUAUGUUUUAAGACGGUCUCACUAAGUUGCUUAGGGCCUCGCUAAAUUGCUGAGGCUGACUGAACUCGCGCUCCUCCUGACUCAGUCUCCCGAGCCGCUGGAAUUACAGGCGUGCACCACCAGGUCCGACUUGUUUUGCUUUCUUUCAAAGAUACUUGUGCAUAUGAAAGCAAUUAAACAAGUUUAAGAAGAGUUUUUUUGUUUGUUUGUUUUUUGCCUGUGAUCUAGGGAUGAAACCUAAGUAAAU
rnacentral:lncRNA from 1 species